GCUUGACUGUAGCUUGUAAUUGGGUUCGGGCUUUUUUUGCGCAGCCUAGGUGGGAGGCAACGAUGAUUUUUUUCCGGAAAAAUUUGAGCCGUUAGUGAGAGACCACUCUGAAAAGGCUAGAAUCCUAAUAAUGAUCCUUGAAUCAGGACAUUUGACAGUUGCAGGUGGGCAGUUUUACUGGGGCGGUAUUCUCCUAAAAAGUAACGGAGGGGUGCAAAGGUUCCCUCAAGGCUGGACGGAAAUCAGCUUAAGAGUGUAAAGGCAAAAGGGAGCUUGACUGCAAGACCUACAAGUCGAGCAGGGGCGAAAGCCGGCCUUAGUGAUGCG
rnacentral:rRNA from 1 species